ensembl:lncRNA
GUUUUGAUGGUAGUAUCAGAUUUGUGUUGGCAGAGAUGGGAAGGCGUCCUGACAAGGAGAAAAGGGAAGAAACCCAACUCCGAUGGGGGGACUGUGUGGGGCAGGGGUGGCCAGUGGAGGAGGGAGAGGACCAGGGAAUGGGGAGACAAGCUCCAGCAGACUCCUCCCAGAUGUCCUUCUCAUGCGUGUCAGCAGCAGCAGAAGUCAAGGAGUCACUCUCUACCCUGGACUGUGGGACCAUCUGAACCAGAAGUCAGCUAGAAGAACGUGUGAAGAAGCUGCAAAGGUUGGAAAAAGAAAGAUUCCAGAAGACUGAAGAAGAUAAAACAUGGAAUCAUAAAAUUUUAAAGUACAAAUGAAUCUCAGAGAAGAUCAUGUCCACACACUUGAUCUCUUUAAGGAAACAGGCAGAGAGGUGAUGAGCUUUGCCUACAGUGAACCUGAAUCUGCAGGACCUCCUUGGGCUUAUGGAUUAGACUCCACCCUCGCCUCCUUCUCCAGUCCCCAGCCCUUCUGGUCUCUUAAUACCAAGUCUAUUAGAUGGAAGAGUUAGGUGAUUUGAGGACCCUGACCACACCUGGAAACUGAGACAUUCACGACAGGACAACAGGAGUGCCAUUAGCUUAAGAG